rnacentral:rRNA from 1 species
AGGGUUUGAUUAUGGCUCAGGACGAACGCUGGCGGCGUGCCUAAUACAUGCAAGUCGAGCGAGCGGAACUAACAGAUUUACUUCGGUAAUGACGUUAGGAAAGCGAGCGGCGGAUGGGUGAGUAACACGUGGGGAACCUGCCCCAUAGUCUGGGAUACCACUUGGAAACAGGUGCUAAUACCGGAUAAGAAAGCAGAUCGCAUGAUCAGCUUUUAAAAGGCGGCGUAAGCUGUCGCUAUGGGAUGGCCCCGCGGUGCAUUAGCUAGUUGGUAAGGUAAAGGCUUACCAAGGCGAUGAUGCAUAGCCGAGUUGAGAGACUGAUCGGCCACAUUGGGACUGAGACACGGCCCAA